AUUGAACGCUGGCGGCAUGCCUUACACAUGCAAGUCGAGCGCGAAAGGGGGCAACCCCGAGUAGAGCGGCGGACGGGUGAGUAACGCAUCGGAACGUGCCCAGUAGUGGGGGACAACCUCGAGAAAUCGAGGCUAAUACCGCAUACGACCCACGGGUGAAAGCGGGGGACCGCAAGGCCUCGCGCUAUUGGAGCGGCCGAUGUCCGAUUAGCUAGUUGGCGGGGUAAGAGCCCACCAAGGCGACGAUCGGUAGCUGGUCUGAGAGGACGACCAGCCACACUGGGACUGAGACACGGCCCAGACUCCUACGGGAGGCAGCAGUGGGGAAUUUUGGACAAUGGGGGCAACCCUGAUCCAGCCAUGCCGCGUGC
rnacentral:rRNA from 1 species